rnacentral:rRNA from 1 species
CCCGCACAAGCGGAGGAGCAUGUGGUUUAAUUCGAUGAUACGCGAGGAACCUUACCUGGGCUCGAACGUAAGAUGACUGUAGGUGAAAGCUUACAUCUCUUCGGAGCAUUUUACGAGGUGCUGCAUGGUUGUCGUCAGCUCGUGCCGUGAGGUGUCGGGUUAAGUCCCAUAACGAGCGCAACCCUUACCUUUAGUUGCCAUCAGGUAAUGCUGGGGACUCUAAAGGAACUGCCUACGCAAGUAGUGAGGAAGGCGGGGAUGACGUCAAAUCAGCACGGCCCUUACGUCCAGGGCUACACACGUGCUACAAUGGCCGAUACAGAGGGCAGCUACCUGGUGACAGGAUGCAAAUCUCCAAAGUCGGUCUCAGUUCGGAUCGGAGUCUGCAACCCGACUCCGUGAAGUUGGAUUCGCUAGUAAUCGCGCAUCAGCCAUGGCGCGGUGAAUACGUUCCCGGGCCUU